AUGAACGCUGGCGGCGUGCCUAACACAUGCAAGUCGAACGGAGAUUACGGACGAAAGUUUUCGGAUGGAAGACUGUAAUUCUUAGUGGCGGACGGGUGAGUAACGCGUGGGCAACCUGCCCUAUACAGGGGGAUAGCAGCUGGAAACGGCUGGUAAGACCGCAUAAGUCGGUUAAAUCGCAUGAUUUGAUCGGGAAAUGAGCAAUCAGGUAUAGGAUGGGCCCGCGUCCGAUUAGCCAGUUGGCAGGGUAAAAGCCUACCAAAGCGACGAUCGGUAGCCGGACUGAGAGGUCGGACGGCCACAUUGGGACUGAGACACGGCCCAAACUCCUACGGGAGGCAGCAGUGGGGGAUAUUGCACAAUGGAGGAAACUCUGAUGCAGCGACGCCGCGUGAGUGAAGAAGUAUUUCGGUAUGUAAAGCUCUAUCAGCAGGGAAGAUGAUGACGGUACCUGACUAAGAAGCCCCGGCUAACUACGUG
rnacentral:rRNA from 1 species